UACAGAGGUCCCGAGCGCUGUUCGGAUUCACUGGGCGUAAAGGGUGCGUAGGUGGCGUGGUAAGUUUGAUGUGAAAGCUCAGGGCUUAACCCUGAAAUGGCAUUGAAUACUACUGUGCUGGAGGUUUGGAGGGGGGACUGGAAUUCUUGGUGUAGCAGUGAAAUGCGUAGAUAUCAAGAGGAACACCAGUGGCGAAGGCGAGUCCCUGGACAACACCUGACACUGAGGCACGAAAGCUAGGGGAGCAAACAGG
rnacentral:rRNA from 1 species